rnacentral:misc_RNA from 1 species
UUUCCGUAGGUGAACCUGCGGAAGGAUCAUUAUUGUAUAACCGAGGUGCGAGGGCUGUCGCUGACCCGAAAGGUCGUGCACGCCCGAGUGCCCUCACACACAUCCAUUUCACCCCUAUGUGCACCACCGCGUGGGUCCCCCUUUGGCGUGUUCGGAGGGGGGCUUACGUUUUCACACAAACUUUGUAUGCAGUGUAGAAUGUAUUUUUUGUUUUUGCGAUCACGCAAUCAAUACAACUUUCAACAACGGAUCUCUUGGCUCUC